UACGUAGGGAGCAAGCGUUGUCCGGAAUCAUUGGGCGUAAAGCGCGCGUAGGUGGUCCCGUAAGUCCGCUGUGAAAGUCAAAGGCUCAACCUUUGAAAGCCGGUGGAUACUGUGGGACUAGAGUACGGAAGAGGCGAGUGGAAUUGCAGGUGUAGCGGUGAAAUGCGUAGAUAUCUGCAGGAACACCCGUGGCGAAAGCGGCGAGCUGGAUCACUACUGACGCUGAGGAACGAAAGCUAGGGGAGCAAACAGG
rnacentral:rRNA from 1 species